rnacentral:rRNA from 1 species
CCGGAAUUGCUAGUAAUGGCAGGUCAGCAUACUGCCGUGAAUACGUUCCCGGGCCUUGUACACACCGCCCGUCACACCAUGAGAGUUGGGAAUACCCGAAGCCUGUGAGCUAACGUAAGAGGCAGCAGUCGAAGGUAGAAUCAAUGAUUGGGGUGAAGUCGUAACAAGGUAUC